rnacentral:rRNA from 1 species
GCGGUAAUACGUAUGUCCCGAGCGUUAUCCGGAUUUGUUGGGCGUAAAGCGGGAGCGGACGGGUUAUUAAGUCGGAUGUGAAAUCCCGAGGCCCAACCUCGGAACUGCAUUGGAAACUGAUUUACUUGAGUGCGAUAGAGGCAAGUGGAACUCCAUGUGUAGCGGUGAAAUGCGUAGAUAUGUGGAAGAACACCAGUGGCGAAAGCGGCUUGCUAGAUCGUAACUGACGUUGAGGCUCGAAAGUAUGGGUAGCAAACGGGAUUAGAUACCCCGGUAGUCCAUACCGUAAACGAUGGGUGCUAGUUGUUAAGAGGUUUCCGCCUCCUAGUGACGUAGCAAACGCAUUAAGCACCCCGCCUGAGGAGUACGGCCGCAAGGCUAAAACUUAAAGGAAUUGACGGGGACCCGCACAAGCGGUGGAGCAUGUGGUUUAAUUCGAAGAUACGCGAAAAACCUUACCAGGUCUUGACAUACCAAUGAUCGCUUUUGUAAUGAAAGCUUUUCUUCGGAACAUUGGAUACAGGUGGUGCAUGGUCGUCGUCAGCUCGUGUCGUGAGAUGUUGGGUUAAGUCCCGCAACGAGCGCAACCCUUGUUAUUAGUUGCCAGCAUUUAGUUGGGCACUCUAAUGAGACUGCCGGUGAUAAACCGGAGGAAGGUGGGGACGACGUCAGAUCAUCAUGCCCCUUAUGACCUGGGCAACAC